rnacentral:rRNA from 1 species
AGUCGAACGGUGAACACGGAGCUUGCUCUGUGGGAUCAGUGGCGAACGGGUGAGUAACACGUGAGCAACCUGCCCCUGACUCUGGGAUAAGCGCUGGAAACGGCGUCUAAUACUGGAUAUGUGACGUGACCGCAUGGUCUGCGUCUGGAAAGAAUUUCGGUUGGGGAUGGGCUCGCGGCCUAUCAGCUUGUUGGUGAGGUAAUGGCUCACCAAGGCGUCGACGGGUAGCCGGCCUGAGAGGGUGACCGGCCACACUGGGACUGAGACACGGCCCAGACUCCUACGGGAGGCAGCAGUGGGGAAUAUUGCACAAUGGGCGCAAGCCUGAUGCAGCAACGCCGCGUGAGGGACGACGGCCUUCGGGUUGUAAACCUCUUUUAGCAGGGAAGAAGCGAAAGUGACGGUACCUGCAGAAAAAGCGCCGGCUAACUACGUGCCAGCAGCCGCGGUAAUACGUAGGGCGCAAGCGUUAUCCGGAAUUAUUGGGCGUAAAGAGCUCGUAGGCGGUUUGUCGCGUCUGCUGUGAAAUCCGGAGGCUCAACCUCCGGCCUGCAGUGGGUACGGGCAGACUAGAGUGCGGUAGGGGAGAUUGGAAUUCCUGGUGUAGCGGUGGAAUGCGCAGAUAUCAGGAGGAACACCGAUGGCGAAGGCAGAUCUCUGGGCCGUAACUGACGCUGAGGAGCGAAAGGGUGGGGAGCAAACAGGCUUAGAUACCCUGGUAGUCCACCCCGUAAACGUUGGGAACUAGUUGUGGGGUCCAUUCCACGGAUUCCGUGACGCAGCUAACGCAUUAAGUUCCCCGCCUGGGGAGUACGGCCGCAAGGCUAAAACUCAAAGGAAUUGACGGGGACCCGCACAAGCGGCGGAGCAUGCGGAUUAAUUCGAUGCAACGCGAAGAACCUUACCAAG